rnacentral:rRNA from 1 species
AUUGAACGCUGGCGGCAUGCUUUACACAUGCAAGUCGAACGGUAACAGGGAGCUUGCUCCGCUGACGAGUGGCGAACGGGUGAGUAAUGCAUCGGAACGUACCCAGUCGUGGGGAUAACGUAGCGAAAGUUACGCUAAUACCGCAUACGUCCUGAGGGAGAAAGCGGGGGACCGAAAGGCCUCGCGCGAUUGGAGCGGCCGAUGUCGGAUUAGCUAGUUGGUGGGGUAAAGGCCUACCAAGGCGACGAUCCGUAGCGGGUCUGAGAGGAUGAUCCGCCACACUGGGACUGAGACACGGCCCAGACUCCUACGGGAGGCAGCAGUGGGGAAUUUUGGACAAUGGGGGCAACCCUGAUCCAGCCAUGCCGCGUGAGUGAAGAAGGCCUUCGGGUUGUAAAGCUCUUUCAGACGGAAAGAAAACGCAUCGGUGAAUACCCGAUGUGGAUGACGGUACCGUAAGAAGAAGCACCGGCUAACUACGUG